rnacentral:rRNA from 1 species
UAUCAUUAAGUGAAUACAUAGCUUAAUGAGGGGAACUCAGGGAACUGAAACAUCUAAGUACCUGAAGGAAGAGAAAGAAAUUCGAUUCCGUAAGUAGCGGCGAGCGAACGCGGAUUAGCCCAAACCAAUAAAGUUUUCUUUAUUGGGGUUGUGGACAUAUCAUAACGAAGAGGUAUCGUAAUUGAAGAGGUUUGGAAAGACCCACCACAGAAGGUAAUAGUCCUGUAUGUUAAACGAGAAGACUUUAGAUAUGAUCCAGAG